AAUUAAUACAACGGAAAUUAUAUAAAUUAUUUAUUCUUUCUUUGCGGCCCGGUAGGAAAUGCCUCACGGACCGGUACCGGGCCGCGGCCCGGUGGUUGGGGACCACUGUGCUAAAUGACUAAAUGUAAAUGUAAAUGACUAAAUGUAAAUGUAAAUGUAAAUGUUAGGCCGUGACAUCUGGUGGUCAUAGACAGGUUGAGGCUGUAACAGUGGUGCUGUUCUGAUGGAUGGAGGGUUGGGGAGUGGGAGUUGGGGAGCACUUAUUCAAGCACUUACACAACUGAUCAAGCACCUAGCCCGUUCACAUUUGAUGAACAUAACCCCACUACUGUUUAUGCUAUCUGUUUAAUGCUAUCUGCCCAUGGCCUCCCUGAUAACAGCUAUCAGCAAGCUAGAUUUGCUCAAUCCAGCCAUGUUAGGACCACAAUGAGAAACACAAAGCAACAUCUAGAGAUUACACUAUCCAGUCUAGAAAAGAUAUGAGGAUAUCUGUUGCCAAGUGUGUGUGUGUGUGUGUGUGUGCAUGUGUGUGCGCGCGUGUGUGUGUGUGUGUGUAUGUGUGUGCGUGCGUGUGUGUGUGCGUGUGUGUGCGCGUUCGUGCGUGCGUGCGUGUGAACUAGAGUGAGAGUUUAUACGUUUAUUGCUUUGAGGAGAAAAACAACAUUUCAGUGAUUUCCUUGACCUGUUCGCCCUCCUCCUCUCUUUGUUUCUCUGACUCAUACACUCAACCUCUUGCAGAGAUUUUGUCCAUAUUCAAUCCUCAUCUGGCCACCCUGCUUCCAAACGGGCCUGCAUCAAAAAAUAGGAAUCUGCUCCAGCAAGCGGAGGAUUUGGUCUUGUCCCUUGGCAGUCGUGAGGUAAUGUAUUCUACCACUCUGCCUCACAGUCCCCAUCAAUCUUACGGCCUUCGUGUGUCCGGUUCUUCACAAGAACAGUGUUUCAUAUGUAAAUGCUCUCCUCUGUUGGGGCCUGUCCAAGCAUGCGUGUGCACACCUGUCCCUAAGUCUGUCUGUUUGUCUGUCCGUGAUGCAGGCUGUGGAGGGAGAUCGGUCCUGGAGGCUACU
rnacentral:lncRNA from 1 species